CCCCUUUUUCUCAGAGGGGGAGCCUGACCUUGACCUCAGAACCCCCUGAAGAUCCCUCUGUCUUGAAAACAGAGAACAAUGAGAGCCAUCAUAAAGAGCCUUCUCCCACAAGAGGAGCUGAGCAGAGCAUCAGCCAAGAUGUGGCACACGAAUCGCAUUGCAGCACCCAAAUCCCAGGCAGCUGUGAGACGACGGAACCCGUUCCGGCUCUGAACCAAUCAGACGCUUAGAAAAUGGCACUCGGCUCUACCCCCAUUCUGGCUGUCGGUUCCAGAUCAAGACACGAGGGAGGAACCCAGGAUGAAUGGCUGUUUGCACUUCUGAGCUUGGAGAAUAUGGAGACCCAGAGUGUUACAGUGGGAAAAAAAGACUCAUCAAGAGAAAUCUUUGAUCAUUUUUGUCUAUAACUGAAACACUUUGUUCUCUUUUUCCUAAAAAUCCAAAUUAUUUUUUAGAAAUAAAAAAAAGAGAGUUAUUUUUGAUUGAUGAGACGCUCCUGAUGGUCUAGUACGAAUUGGAAGAAUCCUUGGACUUGAGCUGGGAAUGGAAUGAAAUAUUUAUAACACGAUGUAAUAGAAUCCAUAAUGUGUAGUAAAACCCCAUGUGGUCUCACUAUAUGUCAAAACAGGACCUGGUUAUUAUUAAUGACCUUCAAUAAAAGACAAGUGUGUGUGUGUGUGUGCACAAAGCUGCAUUUUAUUGGACUGAUAAUACUAAAAGCAUUAAUGCUAGAAAUAAUGCUGUGGUUCCUAACGUUAUAACACAACUCUGACUCUGUACACUACGUUACUCAAAAAAGCGACAUUAUAUCUGCACGGGUUUCACCAUGAGACUCAAGUCGUCGGAUUUUAUACAAUGUGUUUUCAUUUUCUAAGGCCAUUGCUCUGUCUGGUUGUGUGUGAUCUUUUUUUUUUUGAAUAUAUACAUAUAUAUUUUGCCAAAUCUUGUUCAGUACAUAAUGUGCAAUCUUUGUGCCAUAUGUUGUGUUAAGCCUGAUUUAUACUUUGGAAGACGUUCUUGCAUCAGUUUGUGGACUGAGCCUCCCUUUAAAGCAUUCAUCCAUCCCUUUAAGGUCGACAUGUUAAGUCGAAGUGUAUGAUGGGUUUGCGGUACUGUGAUGAGAUAAUGGGCAGCAUGGUGGCUUAGAGGUUAGCUCUGUCACCAUACACCUCCAGGGUCUGAGUUUGAUUCCUGCCUGUGGAGAGUUUGCUUGUUCUCCCUGUGUAUGGUGGGUUUCCUCCAGGUUUUUCCGGUUUCCUCUCACAGUUCAAAGACAUGCAGAUUAAGCUGAUUGGCAUUUCUAAAUUGCCCAUAGUGUGUGAAUGCGCAUGUACCUCCAACAGUAAAAUUGGAAUAAAUACUUAAGUGGACUACAGAGGUUCCUAGAUGGAUGGAUGGAUGGAUGAAUGAAUAAAAUUAUAUAAACUUUUUUCUAUUUUUUUUUUCAAAGAGAGAUGGAAAAGCAUGGAUGUUCAAAUGUUGGCCUUGAAACCAGUCUAACAGUAGAAUCACUAAUUAAUUAAUUUUAAACCUGUCAGUUAGCGCUCUGCUCUGUUUUGAUGAAGACAGGAUCUGAUAGCGCGGAAAAGUUGCAGACGUUUUUGUCAAUAAUCUGAUUGCAAACUGAAUUCAUUAACCUUGUUUCAUGACAACAUGUAGCUAGCCAACAAAGUGUGAGAGAAAUCCCUUCACAUGCUAACACGCUAGUUUUAGUUAUUUUUAAGCAGUUUGUUUUUUUAAAAGACGAAAGCCUGGUUAAGAUUAAAAUGUAAUAAAAACAUGUUUGUAAAUCUAUGGGAGUUAUAAAAUAAAAGUUUAAAGCUU